UUUAGGAGGCCCGGCGGCGUCGGGGUACGGAAGGUUGUUUUCCGCUGACGACCGGCGCACGGGUGCUAACGCGUAUGCAACCUACCUCUUACGGGGUAUAGCCCAAAAAUUUGGAUUACCCCCUAUACCAUUUUGUCGCAUGAUGAAAGGUUAAGGUUACGGAAAGAUGGGCAUGCUCCUUAUUAGUUGGGAGGAACGCUCACCAAGACUCCAUGGGUAGGGGUUCUGAAGGAUGAUCCCCCCCAUGGUACUGAACACGGACCAACUCCUACGGGAGGCAGCAGUGAGGAAUAUUGCGCAAUGGACAAAGUCUGACGCAGCCUGCCGCGUGCAGGAUGACGCGCUACCGUUGUAAACUGUUUUAUUUACAAAAAACCUCGGGACGGUCCCGAGCUGACGGAUAUUUGAAUAACCCGGUAACUCCGUGCCACACCGCGGUAAUACGGAGGGUGCAAGCGUUAUCCGGAUUUAUUGGGUUUAAAGGGUCCGUAGCGGAUAAUUAAGUCAGUGGGAAAGCCCCCUCAACUGUGACUGCCUUGAUACUGAUUAUCUUGAGUACAUUUGAAGUUGGCGGAAUAGGUCAUGUACGGUGAAAUGCUUAAUAUGACCUAAACACCGAUUGCGAAGGCAGCCAACUAACUGUAACUGACCUGAGGGACGAAAGCGUGGGGAGCGAACAGGAUUAGAUACCCUGGUAGUCCACGCUGUAAACGAUGAUUACUCGUAUUGGCGUAAGUCAGUGCCCAAGCGAAAGUGAUAAGUAAUCCACUGGGAGUACGGCCGCAAGGUUGAAACUCAAGAAUUGACGGGGCCCGCACAAGCGGUGGAGCAUGUGUUUAAUUCAUGAUACGCGAGAACUUACGUCUUAUAUGCAGAGGACGAGGUGAACACUCCUUCUUCGACGGUCUGCAAGCUGCAUGGGUCGUCGCCUGUGUAGUGGGGAUUAGUCCAUACGGCGCACCCUAUUUCUACGCGUCGGGGACUUAGACCUGAGAUGGUGCGAUUGACGUUCAAUCAUCACGCUUCCC
rnacentral:rRNA from 1 species